UUCUGGAAUCUCCCCUAGACAGUGCUAGUGUCCUGAUAUGUGGAAGGAGCUACUGAUUUAAGAGUAGGAAAUCAGCAGAAAUAGUUAUUAGCUAGAUUAAGGUAAGCAAGUAGGUCAAGGCCCCAAGGACACAGAAAUUGAAGCUUCUCAGCUAGGGAGACGUGCCACAGCUGGGUCAUUGCCAAAGUUAGCAGAACCUUGUAUGGCGAUGACCCUCAGUACACACUGCGCAAACCUGUUGAAUGAACAAGCUGAGAUGAAGGAUGUGUUUUGCCAGGGGAGACAACUAGCUAGUCUGAUCCACAGUGAAAUUGGAGAUGCUAGAAUAUAAAACAAAACCAUGUUCAGAUCCCAGAUUACUAAACUGCCUUGCUGUCACCAGAAUCAACGUGUCUGAUUAUUUUCUUGGGAGAAGGAAUGAAGGAAGUAUGGCUAACAAAAUGCAAGGCCUCUUCCAGGACAGGAGUCUUCACUCAACGCCUGCUGAUAUACCACUGAAUUUCAAAUGCCACUACUUUCUCAUCGAGUACACACUUUAUGGAUGACCUUGAACCUCUGAUCUUUCCAACUCUAUCUCCCAAUACUGGAAAUGCAGUUGAGACAGGCAUGUGCCAUCACACCUUCAUGAAUGCUAGAGCACGAACAUUUCGGGCAUCCUUACUCAGCUCUUUGUAUUAAAAGCACCAACUUACUACAACCCAGCACCAGCUACCCACUUUGAUGCUAAGUUUAUGGAUAAGAGCUCUGGAGUCGACAACGUGGUUUUUGAGGAUUCUAAAGACUCCUGGCAGCAAGUUUUGUGUGCUUGCGACUGUGUACAGUAAGUUUCUAUGGAAACUGAGACUACAAUAGUCAGUCUCGGGAAAAGGAACGAGGAAUCAUGGGAAAUCAGUGACCAUUUGUAAGAAUUUGCCCAGCACCCCAGGAUGCCAGUGCUGCACAGCCUUUGAGCUUGAAAACAGGAGGUUAGACGGCUGGGGGUAAGCAGCAAAGCGUUCCGAAUCCCAUCUCUAGGGAGUCUUGACAAGGGCUGUGAGGGCCGGGCCUUGAGUUUACCUGGAGUGCCCCUGUAACUCUAUUCCUUCCAAGCUUUCCACCUUGGCCUCUGACUCACGGGCAUCUUCGUACAGAGACUCUUCAUCCUCCCCCUCACUGUCGU